GGGUGGCUCAGUCGGUUGAGCGUCUGACUUCGGAUCAGGUCAUGAUCUCACGGUUGGUAGGUUCAAGCCCCGCCCC
rnacentral:tRNA from 1 species